rnacentral:rRNA from 1 species
UGGGGAAUCUUCCGCAAUGGACGAAAGUCUGACGGAGCAACGCCGCGUGAGUGAAGACGGCCUUCGGGUUGUAAAGCUCUGUGAUUCGGGACGAAAGGCCAUAUGUGAAUAAUAUAUGGAAAUGACGGUACCGAAAAAGCAAGCCACGGCUAACUACGUGCCAGCAGCCGCGGUAAUACGUAGGUGGCAAGCGUUGUCCGGAAUUAUUGGGCGUAAAGCGCGCGCAGGCGGUCACUUAAGUCCAUCUUAGAAGUGCGGGGCUUAACCCCGUGAUGGGAUGGAAACUGGGAGACUGGAGUAUCGGAGAGGAAAGUGGAAUUCCUAGUGUAGCGGUGAAAUGCGUAGAUAUUAGGAAGAACACCAGUGGCGAAGGCGACUUUCUGGACGAACACUGACGCUGAGGCGCGAAAGCCAGGGGAGCGAACGGG